UUUCUUUUACUUUUUCUUUUUUCCACCCCCAACAGCCUAGCUGUUGUUGAACUUCCCUUGCAACUCCGGCCAACCCUGACCAUCCUUCCUCCUCACAAGAUCGACCACUACUCUGUCGUACCACCACCCCCAUGCCCUCUCUCUCUUUUCUCCUUUCUUCCCCCUCUCCUCACCCUAAAAGCCCCCACACCCUUUCUCUUUUUCCUGUCCUCUUUCCCAUUGUUUCCUUCAUUGAUGACCCAAACCCCAACCUAAUCGAACCCUCCUCCUCCCUUCCUCACCUCAUCGGGCCUCCCUAUUCCCUUCCCCCAUCGACAAGUCGCAACCGUCCCCCUCACCCGAACUGCCAACCCCCACGACCACCGCAACCAUCCCCCAUCUCCAACUGAUUCGACUACACUCCCACCCUUGCAUGCCCUUUUCCCAUUUCUCCUUUCCCCUCUCCAAAGCCCCGACCUCAUUGUUGCCAACCGCGUCUUUGGCCACCACCAC
rnacentral:lncRNA from 1 species